CGUGGACUGAUGGGAUGCCUCAGCCUGGCCUGUGCCCUCUCGCAAUUCGGGACCCCUCGGAGGAUGUUGAAGAGCUGGUUUUGGCCUGAUCCCUGCAGGCCAGGCUGAGGGAUCCCACCAGUGCACA
rnacentral:pre_miRNA from 1 species